AGUGAACGCUGGCGGUAGGCCUAACACAUGCAAGUCGAACGGCAGCACAGUAAGAGCUUGCUCUUACGGGUGGCGAGUGGCGGACGGGUGAGGAAUACAUCGGAAUCUACUUUUUCGUGGGGGAUAACGUAGGGAAACUUACGCUAAUACCGCAUACGACCUACGGGUGAAAGCAGGGGAACUUUGGACCUUGUGCGAUUGAAUGAGCCGAUGUCGGAUUAGUUAGUUGGCGGGGUGAAGGCCCACCAAGGCGACGAUCCGUAGCUGGUCUGGGAGGAUGGUCAGCCACACUGGAACUGGGACACGGUCCAGACUCCUACGGGAGGCAGCAGAGGGGAAUAUUGGACAGUGGGCGCAAGCCUGAUCCAGCCAUACCGCGUGGGUGAAGAAGGCCUUCGGGUUGUAAAGCCCUUUUGUUGGGAAAGAAAAGCAGCAGGUUAAUACCCCGCUGUUCUGACGGUACCCAAAGAAUAAGCACCGGCUAACUUCGUG
rnacentral:rRNA from 1 species